GCGCUAGGUGUAGGGGGCUUCCACGUCUUCUGUGCCGUAGCUAACGCAUUAAGCGCCCCGCCUGGGGAGUACGGCCGCAAGGCUAAAACUCAAAGGAAUUGACGGGGGCCCGCACAAGCGGCGGAGCAUGUGGAUUAAUUCGAUGCAACGCGAAGAACCUUACCUGGGCUUGACAUAUACAAGACAGGCGUAGAGAUACGUCCUCCCUUGUGGUUUGUAUACAGGUGGUGCAUGGUUGUCGUCAGCUCGUGUCGUGAGAUGUUGGGUUAAGUCCCGCAACGAGCGCAACCCUUGUCUUAUGUUGCCAGCAUUUGGUUGGGGACUCAUGAGAGACUGCCGGGGUCAACUCGGAGGAAGGUGGGGAUGACGUCAAAUCAUCAUGCCCCUUAUGUCCAGGGCUUCACACAUGCUACAAUGGUCGGUACAACGCGCAGCGACACUGUGAGGUGGAGCGAAUCGCUGAAAGCCGGCCUUAGUUCGGAUUGGGGUCUGCAACUCGACCCCAUGAAGUCGGAGUCGCUAGUAAUCGCAGAUCAGCAACGCUGCGGUGAAUACGUUCCCGGGCCUUGU
rnacentral:rRNA from 1 species